rnacentral:rRNA from 1 species
UUUUGGACAAUGGGGGCAACCCUGAUCCAGCAAUGCCGCGUGAGUGAAGAAGGCCUUCGGGUUGUAAAGCUCUUUUGUCAGGGAAGAAACAGCAGCUCUAACACAGUCUGGGAAUGACGGUACCUGAGGAAUAAGCACCGGCUAACUACGUGCCAGCAGCCGCGGUAAUACGUAGGGUGCGAGCGUUAAUCGGAAUUACUGGGCGUAAAGCGUGCGCAGGCGGUUAUACAAGACAGGCGUGAAAUCCCCGGGCUUAACCUGGGAAUGGCGCCUGUGACUGUAUAGCUAGAGUGUGUCAGAGGGGGGUAGAAUUCCACGUGUAGCAGUGAAAUGCGUAGAUAUGUGGAGGAAUACCAAUGGCGAAGGCAGCCCCCUGGGAUAACACUGACGCUCAUGCACGAA